rnacentral:rRNA from 1 species
AUUGAACGCUGGCGGCGUGCCUUACACAUGCAAGUCGAACGGUAACGCGGGGCAACCUGGCGACGAGUGGCGAACGGGUGAGUAACGCAUCGGAACGUGCCCAGUAGUGGGGGAUAGCCCGGCGAAAGCCGGAUUAAUACCGCAUACGACCUACGGGUGAAAGGGGGGGAUCGCAAGACCUCUCGCUAUUGGAGCGGCCGAUGUCAGAUUAGGUAGUUGGUGGGGUAAAGGCCUACCAAGCCUGCGAUCUGUAGCUGGUCUGAGAGGACGACCAGCCACACUGGGACUGAGACACGGCCCAGACUCCUACGGGAGGCAGCAGUGGGGAAUUUUGGACAAUGGGCGCAAGCCUGAUCCAGCCAUGCCGCGUGCGGGAAGAAGGCCUUCGGGUUGUAAACCGCUUUUGUCAGGGAAGAAAAGCCUUGGGUUAAUACCCUGGGGUGAUGACGGUACCUGAAGAAUAAGCACCGGCUAACUACGUGCCAGCCGCCGCCGUAA